AGCUUUCUGUAUACGUGUUGAGAUUUCGUCACACACAGACCACAAGGGCUCGUGAGACAACCGAGAUAAGUGAAGCG
rnacentral:pre_miRNA from 1 species